rnacentral:misc_RNA from 1 species
GCUUCAGGCAACAUAAUCUGAUAUGAAUACUGAGUGUGAACAUCGAUGGAUGACAUGAAACAAGAUUGCGUCGGAUGUGUAUGAAUCCACCCAAGAGGAAACAAUGAUUGCUUAUCUUGAACUUCAAAUAUUUCCUCCUCAUUUGUAGUUUGACACGAAUCUGAUGUCGAUUCCUGCUUAGGAAUGAUCAAAGCAGUGAUGUAAAAUUUUCGGUUUUUUAGUGAUCCAGCAAGAACACCACAGGUUUCAAGAUUUUUGUUAGUAUUGGACUUGGCUAACUUCAUGAAAGUAUCCAUAACAGAUGCUGAAAUGUGCAAUUGCAGGGGAUCUUCAGAACAGAUUAGACCAUCAGGUGAUGAUUUAACUAAUCCACAUUCCACCUCUUCGAUUGGACAUGCUGCAGUUGGCAUCAAAUCUUGUACCUCCGCAAGAACAGGUGGAGGAGAAGGCUGUCUAAUGAUUUCUGAUUGUAGAGGGCUUUCUUCUGAAUCAAAGGAAAUCAAUGAAGCAGGUUCCUCAAGACGUAGCACUGGCUUGUCACUGUUGACUGGUAACAUUAAUUCCUGGCAUGGUUUCCCACAUUCUGAACUGAUAUUAUCCUUCUUAUCAGAAGAUUCACUUUCCAGAGGCUGCUUCAGGAGGCUGGGGAUCAGAACAGGGGUGAAGUCAACAUUACUUGGAUAAGACACCCCUCUGUCACUAGCUGGAAGCUGCAACUGUCCUCGAAGCCCAUUCGGACCCAAGAUGGAAUGUCUGUUCAGGGUUUCAUCCGUUGGACGGGGAAUACUAAGUGACAAACGGCGGAUAUGCUCAUCUACAGGCUUCACAGGUAAAAACUGUGUGGUUUUGGGAACUUGAUACCCAAAUUCUCGAACAGGUGCCGCUAUCUUAUUUGUCCCCCAAGCCCUAAAG